GACGAACCGUGCGAACGUUGUUCGGAAUCACUGGGCUUAAAGGGCGCGUAGGCGGACUGCCAAGUCCGGGGUGAAAUCCUCCGGCUUAACCGGAGAAUUGCCUGGGAUACUGGUGGUCUUGAGGGAGGUAGGGGCACGCGGAACUUCCGGUGGAGCGGUGAAAUGCGUUGAGAUCGGAAGGAACGCCCGUGGCGAAAGCGAGGUCCUGGACGCCUACUGACGCUGAGACGCGAAAGCCAGGGGAGCGAACGGG
rnacentral:rRNA from 1 species